rnacentral:misc_RNA from 1 species
GAUGAAGAACGCAGCGAAAUGCGAUAAGUAGUGUGAAUUGCAGAAUUCCGUGAAUCAUCGAAUCUUUGAACGCACAUUGCGCCCCCUGGUAUUCCGGGGGGCAUGCCUGUCCGAGCGUCAUUGCAACCUUCAAGCGCGGCUUGUGUGUUGGGUCUCGUCCCCCGUGGACGGGCCCGAAAGGCAGUGGCGGCGUCCCGACAUGGUGCCCGAGCGUAUGGGAAUCCUCUUCCGCUCGAAUCGGCCCAUGCGGCGCUGGUCGUAACCAAAUUUUUUACCGGUUAACCUCGGAUCAGGUAGGGAUACCCGCUGAACUUAAGCAUAUCAAUAAGCGGAGGA